rnacentral:rRNA from 1 species
UACGAAGGGGGCUAGCGUUGUUCGGAAUCACUGGGCGUAAAGCGCACGUAGGCGGACUUUCAAGUCAGGGGUGAAAUCCCGGGGCUCAACCUCGGAAUUGCCUUUGAUACUGUAGGUCUCGAGUCCGGAAGAGGUGGGUGGAAUUCCUAGUGUAGAGGUGAAAUUCGUAGAUAUUAGGAAGAACACCAGUGGCGAAGGCGGCUCACUGGCCCGAUACUGACGCUGAGGCACGAAAGCGUGGGGAGCAAACAGG